UAUAAAAACCUCAGUGGCUUAAAAUAAUACAAUAAAGCAUCACCUAAUGCCUUCUUGAUGCUGGCUCAUCAAUAAUGUGUGGUUAUGUGAAAAGGAUAGGAGAGGCUUAUCAUGUCUUACCUUAAACCAUGCCGGGAAUGUAAUGCCCUUUUAAUUACUAAAGGCAUCAGGGGAUUUUGUUUUCUCCAUCUUUACAUGGAGGAACUAAAACCUUGCAACUCUCCACUAUUACUUAGUUUUCAGCAUCUCAUGUAAGUAAAUGAAAUCUCAACUUAUUUCCAGUGAAUACAACAUGUUGACCUUCAUAUAUGUGGGCUGCAUAUUAGCAGGAUGAAAACUCCAGGAUCCAUCUCUGGCAAUGCAGGAGGGCUGCACUGAACCAUCCGGUGCUUGACAUUUAACGGAAGCCAAGGAACGUUUCCAGAAUGAAGAUCCAGAUGAAUAAUAUCUGAAGUCCUCCACUGUCUGACCCCAACUUGGAUCUCCAACUUUAUUGCUCAAACACAUCACAGCUCCCAUCCUCUUGCUACAGAAGACUGCAGCACUCAUUAAGACUCUCUUUUGAGGAUCCUUGAGAACAGCUGAGGCUCACACUAACUACCAAUCACCCUGACAGAGCUGACUCUCUCUGCAAAUGAGUAGAGCUCCAUGAAAACUGUUUCCGAAUAUGGACUUUGGACAUGACCUUUGUUCAGAACCAGAGAAUGCACAACACACUUAAGAGAAACACAGGAUCCAGGUUGGCCUUGUGGGGAGCUUCUAGAAAGAAAUAUGGACAGAUAACCUGAUUUAGAUAUGUAACUGUUAGGUUGAGAAACCACUUGGGGCUGUAUAUUCUUAAAGUGACUUCAUUUUUUGAUCUCCCUCUCUUCAUUUAAGUUACUCCUUGAGGCUAAUUCUUUCUCUACCUAUGACUUUUCUGCUUCUUCUGAAGUAAUGCAGUUUUGAUUUAGUUAUUUAGUGUGUUAAUUUCCUACUGCUACUGUUAAAAAUUACAACUUUAAUGGCUUCAGACAUCACAAAAUUUAUCUUACAUUUCUGAAGGUCAGAAGAUUGAAAUGGGGCUCGCCGGGCUAAAAUCAAGGUGUCAGCAGUGCUAUAUUCUUUUCCGGAGGCUCCAGGAGAGAAUUCGUUCCCUUGUCUUCUCCCACUCCUAGAGGCUGCCCCCAUUGGCUCCUAGCUCCUUUUUAUCUCCAAGACUAACAACGGCUAGUGAAGUCUUUCUCUCCUUGCAUCACUCUAACUCUCCUGCCUCCCUCUUUCACAUAUAAAGACCCUUGUGAUUACAUUGGGCCCACCUGGAUAAAUCCAGGCUCAUGUCCUGACCUUAAAUUCAGCUGAUUAGUAAAUCUUAAUUCCAUUUGCAACCUUAAUUCCCCUUUGCCACAUGAAGUAACAUAUUCAUGGGUUCCAGGGAUUAGGAUGUGAGCAACUGUGGGGGGAUCAGGGAGCAAUGAUUCUACAUAGAGUUCCAUGUAAGAGUUAAAACUUGCAUUUUGUUUGGAAAUAAAGACUCCCAUCUCCUUCCCUGUAUGGGGCUUUGGUGAGUAUAGCAGGUACG
rnacentral:lncRNA from 10 species